AUUGAACGCUGGCGGCAGGCCUAACACAUGCAAGUCGAACGAGCGGCGGACGGGUGAGUAAUGUCUCGGAGAAUGCCCCAUGGAGGGGGGGAACACCUCGGGAAGGGAGCGAAUACAGCAUAUGAUCACAGGUGCGCAGAUGGGGUUAGCUAGUAGGUGGGGUAACGGCUCACCUAGGCGACGAUCCCUAGCUGGUCUGAGAGGAUGACCAGCCACACUGGAACGGAGACACGGUCCAGACUCCUACGGGAGGCAGCAGUGGGGAAUAUUGGACAAUGGGCGAAAGCCUGAUCCAGCCAUGCCGCGUGUGUGAAGAAGGUCUUCGGAUUGUAAAGCACUUUAAGCUGGGAGGCGUUACCCACAGAAUAAGCACCGGCUAACUCCGUGCCAGCCGCCGCGGUAAUUC
rnacentral:rRNA from 1 species